UCGGAUGAAGGCAAGGGGAAGCAGCUUGGCGUACAAACUCGGGAUCCAGGCAGCAGAUCAUCCAGAAGCAGGAAAUCCAAAGGAAGAACGACACCUGCUGGAAAGGUUGGAUGGGGGGGCAUUCUUGGAGACCAACCUCCACAGCACCCACAGAGCCCUAUCUCCAGUGUGAGCUCUGACAGAGAGAGGGACUCCAUUGGGUGGUCGAGAGAGCCAAGAUAUCCACCGAGUUCUGACAGAGAAAGGGACUCCGUUGAGAGGCCGAGAGAGCCAAGAUAUCCGCGUGACGCGCCAUCUCAUGGCGAGGACCUCAGAGACCGGCUGAACAGGCCGCCUCAUGAGAGGACGCCUGGCAGCGGCGCGUUCUUCGUCAACAACGGCGCGGACUCCCAGGCCAGGGGGCAGCGGAUGGAGCACAGGCAGCUACAGAUGAUCAACCGCACCAUCAACGACGACAUGGACUCCCUCUCCGUCGGGAGCCACGAGUCCUCCGAGCAGCCCCGUGUCAGCGUGCGGACCAUACACAACAGACCAAGGACCAGAAUAAACCUGGGCUGGUAGCCAGCCAUAUCAUGUGUGACCGACCGUGUCUGUACUCAAAAUCUUGGGAUGCAAUGUCGGAAAAGUUUAUCGAUACCUGGAAACUGGAAAGGGGAAGUUGAGAUGUACAUUUCAGGAACUGAAUUCACUGAUAGAUACUGUAGUCAGGAGCCUAUUGUGUAGAUAAUCAGAGCUGUUAUUUUUUCCUGGAAUGCUGUAAUUGUGUCUUGGUGUGGAUGUUGUGUUGCGUUGGCGCGAUUAUUGAUGACUGAAUAAUAUUGGCUGGGUGUAGGGCAGGAGUUUUUCCUGGAAUUAAUAUGCUGUGAUUGUGUCUUCAGUAACAUUUUGCUCUUUAUAUUUGGAAAGAGAUAGCAGUAACAUUUUGCUUUUGGCCUGUGAAAUUUUAUUAUUUGUGCUGCUUUGGUUUGAGGGAAAGAUUGUGUGCUUGUUUUUGUUUUUAUGCCUAGAAGGAUUUGUGAGAUCUGAAUUCACUGAUAGAUACUGUAGUCAGGAGCCUAUUGUGUAGAUAAUCAGAGCUGUUAUUUUUUCCUGGAAUGCUGUAAUUGUGUCUUGGUGUGGAUGUUGUGUUGCGUUGGCGCGAUUAUUGAUGACUGAAUAAUAUUGGCUGGGUGUAGGGCAGGAGUUUUUCCUGGAAUUAAUAUGCUGUGAUUGUGUCUUCAGUAACAUUUUGCUCUUUAUAUUUGGAAAGAGAUAGCAGUAACAUUUUGCUUUUGGCCUGUGAAAUUUUAUUAUUUGUGCUGCUUUGGUUUGAGGGAAAGAUUGUGUGCUUGUUUUUGUUUUUAUGCCUAGAAGGAUUUGUGAGAUCUGNNNNNNNNNNGUGAAGCCUAUUCAUAGAUCUAUCUCAAGGUGAAAUUUCUAAUGGCAGGACAGGAAAGGAAAUCCACCAGGCAUCAUUCGAACUUUUGUUUCUGAUCCGAUCCCUGAACUAUUUAAGGUCAUGAUCAAGAGAUUGGUAAGGUGGCGUAUUCUGCCAACGGAUUGUGUGCCAGACAGUUGCAUUGUCAACAUGUAUGACCCUGGAGAUUGCAUUCCACCACAUAUAGACAGCCAUGAUUUUGUUCGACCAUUUUGUACUGUUUCAUUCCUCAGUGAAUGCGACAUACUUUUUGGGUCUAGUCUGAAAAUCGCUGGUCCUGGAGAAUUUACGGGCUCAUUUGCAAUUCCUCUGCCUGUUGGGUAUGUUGGUUAUCUUCUCUCGAUUUUCCUCUAUGCUUAUGAAUAUCAUGCAGAAUUGACACUUCCUUUUGCAUGUAGUAUUCACACUUAAUUAUGUAGUGUAUGGAUAGGUCUGAAACUCUGAAUUGAUUAUAUUCCUGGAGAUUUGAGAAUUUUGAUUGCAUAUGAAUUCAAAGACCGUGUCUGAUUCAUUUGCUUACUGCAUGACAUCUUGACUGUACAUGUGUGGAUAGUUUUGAUUUUAUUUUAUUUUUUGACAUUCCGAAGUUCUGAUCUCAUAUGAAUACCAAUAUCAUGCAAAGUCCGUUUGAUACAUGUAAAUGAUAUUGCUUGCUGCAUAGCACAUUGAGGUGCUGAGCUUGUUAGCUUUGAUCUGAAGUUAUCUCAAGUUUGUGCCAAGAUAAGCUAUUUUCUAAUGAUUAUGAGCCAUUUUCUAGUGAUUUUCUUUUUUAUUGUUAUCUUGUCUUUGUUUCUUUACCUGGGUGUCAUGAAUUGUAUGUGAUGUGUGCAGUGAUCUCUGUAGUUUUAUGCUGUCAUUCUUUGCUUCCUUUGCUGAACACUAAAUGUGAACAUUCACAGGUCUGUGCUCGUCAUAAAUGGCAAUGGUGCUGAUGUUGCAAAGCAUUGUGUUCCAGCGGUACCAUCCAAAAGGUUAUAGUUGUAUGUUGCAUUAUUUUUCUGAACUUGAUUUGUUCACCUCUGACAUUAUGCUGGAACUCUGAUUGAUGUACAGGAUAUCCAUUACCUUCAGAAAAAUGGAUCCUGCAAAGCGUCCGUUCAGUUUCAAGGAUGACCCUGAACUGCUGAACAUCACUCCUCUCGAAGCACCAGCUGCACCCGAAACUAGCAGAUCCUCGGAUGAAGGCAAGGGGAAGCAGCUUGGCGUACAAACUCGGGAUCCAGGCAGCAGAUCAUCCAGAAGCAGGAAAUCCAAAGGAAGAACGACACCUGCUGGAAAGGUUGGAUGGGGGGGCAUUCUUGGAGACCAACCUCCACAGCACCCACAGAGCCCUAUCUCCAGUGUGAGCUCUGACAGAGAGAGGGACUCCAUUGGGAGGUCGAGAGAGCCAAGAUAUCCACCGAGUUCUGACAGAGAAAGGGAC
rnacentral:lncRNA from 1 species